rnacentral:rRNA from 1 species
UACGAAGGGGGCUAGCGUUGUUCGGAAUUACUGGGCGUAAAGCGCGCGCAGGCGGCUAUCCAAGUCAGUGGUGAAAGCCCGGAGCUCAACUCCGGAACUGCCAUUGAAACUGUUUAGCUUGAGGAUGAGAGAGGUGAGUGGAAUUCCCAGUGUAGAGGUGAAAUUCGUAGAUAUUGGGAGGAACACCGGUGGCGAAGGCGGCUCUCUGGACCGGUUCUGACGCUGAGGCGCGAAAGCGUGGGUAGCAAACAGG